AAAAAAUACAAUAUAACAAGCAUGUGAUUUUUUAAUAUAAUGAUAAGGAAAAAACUUAUAGGGGAAAACAUUCUCUCAGUCCUGGUUCCUGCAUGACAUGCUGCAGAAUGGGACCCGCUCUGACCUGGAGCCUGGAGCUGCAAUGGCACUAUAAAUAGCAACAAGUGAAGGCUUCAGACAUUUGACUUUCAGCAACUUACUCGUGAAACAAAAACUGAGCUGUGCUUUAUGAAAUCUGGAAGUCUGUGCUAAUGAAGAUCUCACGGAAAGCAACUUGUAGGCAUAUGGAUUCCAUU